AGGAUUAACGCUGGCGGCGUGCCUAACACAUGCAAGUCGAACGAGGUAGCAAUACCUAGUGGCAGACGGGUGAGUAACGCGUGGUCAACCUACCGUUGAGUGGGGGAUAACUAGCCGAAAGGUUAGCUAAUACCGCAUACGAGUCUCGGGGGCAUCCCUGAGCCUUAAAAGGAGCAAUCCGCUCGAUGACGGGACCGCGUCCCAUUAGCUAGAUGGUGGGGUAACGGCCUACCAUGGCACCGAUGGGUAGCUGGUUUGAGAGAGCGACCAGCCACACUGGGACUGAGAAACGGCCCAGACUCCUACGGGAGGCAGCAGUGAGGAAUUUUCCGCAAUGGGCGCAAGCCUGACGGAGCGACGCCGCGUGUGGGAAGAAGGGCCUUCGGGUCGUAAACCACUGUCGAAGGGGACGAUAAUGACGGUACCCUUGGAGGAAGCUCCGGCUAACUACGUGCCAGCAGCCGC
rnacentral:rRNA from 1 species